GACGAACGCUGGCGGCGUGCUUAACACAUGCAAGUCGAACGGAAAGGCCCUGCUUUUGUGGGGUGCUCGAGUGGCGAACGGGUGAGUAACACGUGAGUAACCUGCCCUUGACUUUGGGAUAACUUCAGGAAACUGGGGCUAAUACCGGAUAGGAGCUCCUGCUGCAUGGUGGGGGUUGGAAAGUUUCGGCGGUUGGGGAUGGACUCGCGGCUUAUCAGCUUGUUGGUGGGGUAGUGGCUUACCAAGGCUUUGACGGGUAGCCGGCCUGAGAGGGUGACCGGCCACAUUGGGACUGGAAUACGGCCCAGACUCCUACGGGAGGCAACAGUGGGGAAUAUUGCACAAUGGGCGGAAGCCUGAUGCAGCAACGCCGCGUGCGGGAUGACGGCCUUCGGGUUGUAAACCGCUUUCGCCUGUGACGAAGCGUGAGUGACGGUAAUGGGUAAAGAAGCACCGGCUAACUACGUG
rnacentral:rRNA from 1 species